rnacentral:RNase_P_RNA from 1 species
UAACUUUGCCAAACGGCUGCGCGGUAUGUUGCCGAAAGGUAUUACCGUGAGGAAAGUCCGGGCUUCAUAGGGCAGGGUAGCUGAUAACGUCAGCCGGAGGCGACUCCCGAGAAAGUGCAACAGAGAGAUACCGCCAACGAUUUCGUUGGUAAGGGUGGAAAGGUGAGGUAAGAGCUCACCCACUCCUACGGUAACGUAGGUUUGCUGUAAACCUUAUCCGAAGCAACACCGUCGUCGGAUCGUUUGCCCGACACACAUCCGCAGGUGGCACGGGGUAACACCCGAAGCUUCGUGGCGACACGGAGCGAAGAUAGAUAGCCGUUCACGACAGAACCCGGCUUAUCGGCAGAGUUACAAA